GGCGAGUGCGUAACAAGUUCUUGGGACUGUGAUUGGUGCGUAUUUGACAAUACAUGCGCCCAUCAAAGUACUGACUGUUCCAACGAAUUCUCCAUUGUCAACGGUCUCAAUAAUCCUGCUGGGGGAGCAAACCGAGGACCAACCUUCUGUCCUCAGCUACAACCGCAGUAUGGGGAGGUUCUUGUUCCAGUCGACAUUCAAAAAGAAUUACAAGUCAAUGUCUCCAACAUACCAGACUCCAACGAGCUCAACUAUAAGUGUUCCUUGUUAAUUGACAA